GGCGAACGGGUGAGUAACACGUGGGCAACCUGCCCCCGGCUCUGGGAUAACUCCAAGAAAUUGGGGCUAAUACCGGAUGUGACCGCUGGCCGCAUGGUCUGGUGGUGGAAAGGGUUUCCGGCUGGGGAUGGGCCCGCGGCCUAUCAGCUUGUUGGUGGGGUAGUGGCCUACCAAGGCGACGACGGGUAGCCGGCCUGAGAGGGUGACCGGCCACACUGGGACUGAGACACGGCCCAGACUCCUACGGGAGGCAGCAGUGGGGAAUAUUGCGCAAUGGGCGGAAGCCUGACGCAGCGACGCCGCGUGGGGGAUGACGGCCUUCGGGUUGUAAACCUCUUUCAGCAGGGACGAAGCCUCACGGUGACGGUACCUGCAGAAGAAGCACCGGCCAACUACGUGCCAGCAGCCGCGGUAAUACGUAGGGUGCAAGCGUUGUCCGGAAUUAUUGGGCGUAAAGAGCUCGUAGGCGGUUGGUCGCGUCGGCUGUGAAAACCCGGAGCUCAACUCCGGGCCUGCAGUCGAUACGGGCCGACUUGAGUGUUGCAGGGGAGACUGGAAUUCCUGGUGCAGCGGUGAAAUGCGCAGAUAUCAGGAGGAACACCGGUGGCGAAGGCGGGUCUCUGGGCAACAACUGACGCUGA
rnacentral:rRNA from 1 species